UCCACUGUUUUCAUGGCUCACUGGUAGG
rnacentral:piRNA from 1 species